GAAAUAAAAUAAAAUUAAGCUUCUAACUUAAAAAAAAGCACAAAGUGUUUAUAUUUCU
rnacentral:tRNA from 1 species